rnacentral:lncRNA from 1 species
UUAGUGAGGGUAGGUUAGUCAUUUCCAUGUAAUUGUGUAACUACCUCCAGCUAGACCUAUCUAAUUCUGGAACUUUCUCUCUGUCUGUCUACCAUUUUGUUGUGUUCCAUAGUUCCAUUACAAAAUUCUGAAAUGCGGUAAACUUAUCCUACUACUUAUUAUCUACCUCACUUGCAUUGAUUUGUCAGACCUCCCCAAAAUUUAGUAAUGCCCAGAUCUUAGGUUCCCAUUUUCCUCUCACUUAAAAACUUUUUAUUUAAUUUAGAGUUAAUUUUGACACAUAACACAAAGGAUCUGCUCUCAUUUCGCAUACAACAUUUAAGAUAAUAUGCUUUUUACUCUCUUUUAUUAUCUUUUUAUCUUGUUUAAAAUACUCCAUAACAUUCCAGAAAAAGAAUGGAGGAGGGUGAGGGCCCGAGUUAAAAUCAGAUGGCAGGAAAUGCUUGUAAUAACAACCAAUCAUCACUAUCUUCUAC